rnacentral:tRNA from 1 species
GCCUUCGUGGUGUAGUGGUUCUGCACGCUGGGCUUGUAUUCCAGAGGUCCGUGGUUCGAUUCCCGGCGAAGGCG